UACGGAGGGUGCAAGCGUUGUCCGGAUUUAUUGGGUUUAAAGGGUGCGUAGGCGGUUCUUUAAGUCCGGGGUGAAAGCCCACUGCUCAACAGUGGAACUGCCCUGGAAACUGGAGAACUUGAGUACAGACGAGGGCGGCGGAAUGGAUGGUGUAGCGGUGAAAUGCAUAGAUACCAUCCAGAACCCCGAUUGCGAAGGCAGCUUACUAGGCUGUAACUGACGCUGAGGCACGAAAGCGUGGGGAGCGAACAGG
rnacentral:rRNA from 1 species